rnacentral:rRNA from 1 species
CCUACGGGAGGCAGCAGUGAGGAAUAUUGGUCAAUGGGCUUACGCCUGAACCAGCCAAGUCGCGUGAGGGAAGACUGCCCUAUGGGUUGUAAACCUCUUUUGUCAGGGAGCAACGCCGGCUACGUGUAGCCGGACUGAGAGUACCUGAAGAAAAAGCAUCGGCUAACUCCGUGCCAGCAGCCGCGGUAAUACGGAGGAUGCGAGCGUUAUCCGGAUUUAUUGGGUUAAAGGGGUGCGUAGGCGGAAUGCCAAGUCAGCGGUAAAAGCGCGGGGCUCAACCUCGCCCCGCCGUUGAAACUGGCGUUCUUGAGUGGGCGAGAAGUAUGCGGAAUGCGUGGUGUAGCGGUGAAAUGCAUAGAUAUCACGCAGAACUCCGAUUGCGAAGGCAGCAUACCGGCGCCCAACUGACGCUGAAGCACGAAAGCGUGGGUAUCGAACAGGAUUAGAUACCCGAGUAGUC